GGAUGUGAGGGCGAUCUGGCUGCGACAUCUGUCACCCCAUUGAUCUCCAGGGUUGAUUCGGCUGAUCUGGCUGGUUAGGCGGGUGUCCCCUUCCUCCCUCACCGCUCCAUGUGCGUCCCUCCCGAAGCUGCACGCUCGGUCGAAGAAGACGGCCUUCCCCAAAUAGAGACGGACCGGUCUUUGGUCGAGGGUAUACGAGUAGCUGCGCUUCCCUGCUAGAACCUCCAAACAAGCUCUCAGGUCCAAAUUCAUCCCUCUCUCACUCAAUACUUUUUUCUUCAGUUUCCAUCCCAGGUGAGGCAAAGAUUGGACUUUAAG
rnacentral:snRNA from 1 species